rnacentral:rRNA from 1 species
AUUGAACGCUGGCGGCAUGCUUUACACAUGCAAGUCGAACGGUAACAGGCCUUCGGGUGCUGACGAGUGGCGAACGGGUGAGUAAUGCAUCGGAACGUACCCAGAGGUGGGGGAUAACGCAGCGAAAGCUGUGCUAAUACCGCAUGUGAUCUGAGGAUGAAAGCGGGGGACCGAGCAGCAAUGUUUGGCCUCGCGCCUUUGGAGCGGCCGAUGUCGGAUUAGCUAGUUGGUGGGGUAAAGGCCUACCAAGGCGACGAUCCGUAGCUGGUCUGAGAGGACGACCAGCCACACUGGGACUGAGCCACGGCCCAGACUCCUACGGGAGGCAGCAGUGGGGAAUUUUGGUCAAUGGGCGCAAGCCUGAUCCAGCAAUGCCGCGUGCGGGAAGAAGGCCUUCGGGUUGUAAACCGCUUUUGGCAGGAACGAAACGGUGUCCGCUAAUACCGGGCGCUAAUGACGGUACCUGCAGAAUAAGCACCGGCUAACUACGUG